AUGCACGCUGGCGGCGUGCCUAAUCCAUGCCAGUCGAGCGAACGGACGAGAAGCUUGCUUCUCUGAUGUUAGCGGCGGACGGGUGAGUAACACGUGGAUAACCUACUUAUAAGACUGGGAUAACUUCGGGAAACCGGAGCUAAUACCGGAUAAUAUUUUGAACCGCAUGGUUCAAAAGUGAAAGACGGUCUUGCUGUCACUUAUAGAUGGAUCCGCGCUGCAUUAGCUAGUUGGUAAGGUAACGGCUUACCAAGGCAACGAUGCAUAGCCGACCUGAGAGGGUGAUCGGCCACACUGGAACUGAGACACGGUCCAGACUCCUACGGGAGGCAGCAGUAGGGAAUCUUCCGCAAUGGGCGAAAGCCUGACGGAGCAACGCCGCGUGAGUGAUGAAGGUCUUCGGAUCGUAAAACUCUGUUAUUAGGGAAGAACAUAUGUGUAAGUAACUGUGCACAUCUUGACGGUACCUAAUCAGAAAGCCACGGCUAACUACGUG
rnacentral:rRNA from 1 species